CAUGCAAGUCGAGGGGUAAUCCCGAUAGCAAUAUUGGGAACGACCGGCGUACGGGUGAGUAACGCGUAUGCAACCUGCCCUGUACCGGGGGAUAGCUCCCGGAAACGGGAAUUAAUACCCCAUGAGGAUAUUGAGGGGCAUCCCUUAAUAUUCAAAGCUGAGGCGGUACAGGAUGGGCAUGCGUAACAUUAGCUAGUUGGCAGGGCAACGGCCUACCAAGGCGAUGAUGUUUAGGGGACCUGAGAGGGUGUACCCCCACACUGGUACUGAGACACGGACCAGACUCCUACGGGAGGCAGUAGUGAGGAAUAUUGGUCAAUGGGCGAAAGCCUGAACCAGCCAUCCCGCGUGCAGGAAGAAUGCGCUAAGCGUUGUAAACUGCUUUUGCAGGGGAAGAAAACCUCCGACGUGUUCGGGGAUUGACGUACCCCU
rnacentral:rRNA from 1 species